GGUUAAGUGAAUAAGGGCGCACGGUGGAUGCCUUGGCACUAGGAGCCGAUGAAGGACGGGACUAACACCGAUAUGCUUCGGGGAGCUGUAAGUAAGCUUUGAUCCGGAGAUUUCCGAAUGGGGAAACCCAGCAUCUUUUAUAGGAUGUUACUUUUCAGUGAAUACAUAGCUGAUUAGAGGUAGACGCAGAGAACUGAAACAUCUAAGUACCUGCAGGAAGAGAAAGAAAAAUCGAUUCCCUGAGUAGCGGCGAGCGAAACGGGAAAAGCCCAAACCAAGAGGCUUGCCUCUUGGGGUUGUAGGACUCCGAUAUGGUAGUCCAGUGAGAUAGUCGAGGGACCUGGAAAGGUCUGCUAGAAAGGGUAAAAGCCCCGUAGACAAAAUUUGACUGGCACCUAGGAGGAUCCUGAGUA
rnacentral:rRNA from 1 species